CAUCCAGCGAGCAAAGUGGGAUGAUCUGUCACUACACCUGCAGCACCACGUUCGGAGGACAGCUCCUGCUUGCUGCUUCCAGAGCCAGGAAGCCUGAGGGGAAGAAAGGAAGUACGGGCGAAAUCGUCAGAUUGGCUUCCCGGGUUUGGGAAUCUGAAGCGGGCCCGCAUCUUCCGGCCAACUUCCAUUGAACUUCCCAGCACUCGAAAGGGACCGAAAUGGAGAGCAAAGGGUCUUUGGACUCAUUUAAAGUCAUAUGGGUG